GAGUCGCUAGCUCAGCUGGUAGAGCAACGGCCUUUUAAGCCGUGGGUCGUGGGUUCGAUCCCCACGCGACUCA
rfam:Lactobacillus mellifer strain Bin4 genomic scaffold Bin4_scaffold1, whole genome shotgun sequence.